AUGUCUUGGUCUGAGCUCCCGGAGGACCUUGGCGACUCGAUCCUCCGGCGCCUCCGGCGCCACGAUGACCGCGUUUGCUUCGGCGCCGUCUGCCGGCAGUGGCGCUCCUGCGCACGGCGGAACAGCCCUCCGCCGCAGUUCCCCUGGCUCGCCUUACCGGACCAGACCUUUUACAGCUUGCCCGACUCGGCUUUCCGGCCGCUGCCGCUCCGUCUUGACUUCCAUCGCCAGGUACCGCAUGCCCAGAGCUCCUGCGGCGAGUGGCUCGCCUUUGAACGCAUCGACGGCGCCUACACGCUGGUGAGCCCUUUCUCCGUGGCCACCACCAUGGUGCUCCCUCGGCUGUCCGCAGGACCGCCCUUGUCGGAGCCGUCCAUCAGGAAGCUGGUCGUGUGCUCGCCCAACCUUAUCGUCGCGGUCGUCGGUGAGGAAGGGAUUCACAAGCUGGCCUUGUACCGGCCAGGAGCGGCGUGGUGGUGA
rnacentral:rRNA from 1 species